CAGUAUUCCCGAGACAUCCGUGUACAUAAGGGGGAGCUGCCGCCCAUCGCGACAGUCUUGAGGCGCAACCGAUUCUGAAUCAUGAGGCCGCUUUCUGUAGUCGUCGUUCCCGUCGUCGCUGUCGUGCUGUUUUUGGGCGCAACCCACGCGGCUUGCCCGUCGAUCCGGGGCCAGUUCAGCGACUGCAGGUUUGAGCAGUGCACGCAAGAGCAGUGUCAACGUCGGGGUCUGGAAUGCUGCCCCAAGCCUUGUGGUGGCACAUGGUGUGUCGAAGGUGUACCCAGUCCUGUAAUGCUGUUGGCACAGUACACUGGAAGUCACCACUGUCCCCAAGUUGAACCUCCACAGCCGGGUGAAUGUGAAUCAAGGCCCCACAACGUCACUUGUGAAGAUCUCGGAUGCCACGAUAUCGGUGCCAUCUGUUGCAAGCUUGCUUGCGGAGAGCCACUGUGCGUCGUGGUUAAAACACCAUACUAGCUUAGCUUGUCUCUGUGAACACGCAAGAGAAAAUCUCAAUAGAUAUUGCAGCACAGAGGAAUAUAUCAUGGAUGAAAGCAUAAUAAAAGUGCAGACAACAUGGGGGAAAGAAAGAACAUAGGAGAGACCCUGACGUCACGUUCUUGAAGCCGGCAGUACAGCCAUGUUGGUUUGCCAUCUCCCUUUGAGUCUCCAAUCAGAUCGCUGGAGCAAAUGGCGCGAGCUUUGAAUUUGCAUAACUACGAGCCGCCGGGAGAGUGCGCUGCUGACGAGCGUCAGAACAACUAUGCAAUUUCUGUAACAGAUUUUGUGAAACCGACGUGCACCUGAGUUUUUCUGUGGCUCGUUGAAGAAGACGGCGAAUACGAGCGCCAUGAUUACGUGAGUGCUGCUCUUGCAAGCGGACACUCACACUCACAGGCCCUAAACAUAACUUCAAAAGCAUACACACCACACUCCAAACUUAGCUUGUCUCGCAAACAGAAUGUGCUUCGAGGAAGACCCGGGCCGAAAAAUCUUAUCUCACAGCAGCAGCGAGAGCUUAAGGAGCGCGGUUGCUAUAGUAACGCGGUUGUUUGGGACACCCCUCCCAAUUCUCCUUUGCGAAAAAGAGCACGUGACCACUGCCACACACACUCUCAACACAUCCUGGUUGACUGGGGCCUUUCCUACGCUUUCCUUCCUUGAUGGAAGACAAGGAUCCGAAUAAAAUUAAGAAUGUUGCUAUAGAAGAA